rnacentral:rRNA from 1 species
GAUCCUGGCUCAGGAUAAACGCUGGCGGCGCACAUAAGACAUGCAAGUUGAACGGACUUAAUCGAAAUAUUUAUAUUUUGAAGCGGUUAGUGGCGGACUGGUGAGUAACGCCUAAGGAACCUGCCUAUUAGAGGGGAAUAACAGUGAGAAAUCAUUGCUAAUACCGCAUAUGCCAUAGAUAUCACAUGAUAACAGUGGGAAAGGAGCAAUCCGCUAAUAGAUGGCCUUGCG